rnacentral:lncRNA from 1 species
UCAUCAAAUUACUAAGUACUCUAAGGCCCGUAUUCAUAGUCAGGUCUCAAGGCGGUGCUUAAGACCGUCUUGGUGAAGAUCGUCUUAUUCGUUCAAGACCGUCUUGAGAUGCUAUGUAUUCAUAGUCGGAAAACAAGACGGUCUUCGUCAAGAAUUUGGUCUCAAGCGCUAGCUUAUUUCAUUCAAGACCGUCUUGACGAAGACUGAGCUUGAGACGGUCUUAUUCGACGUUCGGUUAUGUUCGGAAUAUUUCCGAUGUAUCCCCCAAUAAGAUGCUCGGAUUUUAUUUCUCAGCCUGUGCAAGAUAUUCGUAUAGGCAUGCAGCUCUUGAGUAUUUUUAUAGUUUAUGAACACAACAACGUUAGCGCCACGUAGUGGAACUAAAAAACGGGAACAAAUCGCGUACAAUUUUUUGUAGUGGGUGUAUAGCUAUAAAACGAAGAAGAAGAAAAAGAAUUUUAUAUUGAAUCCCGGUGCAGACUUGCAAAAAAAUGCGCGUGAAAGGGACAACCUUUGAUCUUCAAAGUUCAAAAGAGCAACUUUAGUUCUAUUUACUGGCUGUAUUUAUAAUGUAUUGAAUAUUUUUACGUAGACAAAUUUUCAUAAGUAUUAUCGUAACUAUAAGACUGACGCUUAGUACAAUUACGUACAUAUCAGUAUUUUCAUGAGUAAGUGAGGGGUUUAAAAAUAAAAUGAGAACCAAUGAUAAGUUAUGAGUAAAAUAUGUAUUCUAAUGUUAACUGUUUGUGCAGAUUAAAUUCAAUUUUAUUAAAUAUUUGGAGUAUAUUCAUUCUAAAAUCAAUUAGUCUUUACAAUUAAAUUAACUUGAUAUACAUAUAUUUUGAUUAAAUUAAUAACCGUUCGAUUAGAGCUUCGCGUAUUGCAAAACCCUCUCCAGGCUGCCAAUGCGGUGCUUGAGGUGGCAAUUCAUCCGCUUCUUCUUCCUCGAUGCGAUUAUCUUCCGGAAGAGCAUUAUCCAAUGUUAGUGAUAAAUUGUGUAGUACGGCACAAGCUACAACAAUUGUGGUAGAGCACAACAAUUUGGUUCCCAAACCUCGGGAUAGGCAAGGAAAACGUCGCUUCCAAACUCCAAAUGUUCUUUCAACAAUUUGCCUUGUUCUGCUUUGUACGUUGUUAUACCUAUCAAGAUACCGACUUGGUUAAUUCACACAUGUAUACUUUGUCAAUUUUAUGACUACUUAUCGAAAUCUAAAGUAAUGCGAUAAUCUUUAUCUUACCUUUGUUGAGCAUCUGUAAUUGGAUUUGCCAGUGGAGUCAGCAGAAAUGGCAAGCACGGAUAGCCGGCAUCUCCAACCAGGGUUCCAGUAAGUUGUCUCUCAUGAUACCGCAUGUAAAUUCGUGAAUUUUGGAAUAUUCGACUGUCAUGGUUACUUCCAGGCCAUUCCGGAACCACAUCCAAGAAUUCCAUAUUGGGUCCGACAACUGCCUGU